rnacentral:rRNA from 1 species
AUUGAACGCUGGCGGCAGGCCUAACACAUGCAAGUCGAACGAGUGGCGGACGGGUGAGUAAUGUCUGGGAAACUGCCUGAUGGAGGGGGAUAACUACUGGAAACGGUAGCUAAUACCGCAUACCAUCGGAUGUGCCCAGAUGGGAUUAGCUAGUCGGUGGGGUAAAGGCUCACCUAGGCGACGAUCCCUAGCUGGUCUGAGAGGAUGACCAGCCACACUGGAACUGAGACACGGUCCAGACACCUACGGGAGGAAGCGGUGGGGAAUAUUGAAAAAUGGGCGCAAGCCGGAGGCAUCCAGACCGGGUGUAUGAAGAAGGCCUUCGGGUGUUAAAGUACUUUCAGCGGGGAGGCGUUACCCGCAGAAGAAGCACCGGCUAACUCCGUGCCAGCAGCCGCGGUAAUAC